rnacentral:rRNA from 1 species
GCCAGACUCCUACGGGAGGCAGCAGUGGGGGAUAUUGCACAAUGGGGGAAACCCUGAUGCAGCGACGCCGCGUGUGGGAAGACGGUCCUCUGGAUUGUAAACCACUGUCCCCAGGGACGAAGAUGACGGUACCUGGGGAGGAAGCUCCGGCUAACUACGUGCCAGCAGCCGCGGUAAUACGUAGGGAGCAAGCGUUGUCCGGAAUUACUGGGCGUAAAGGGCGCGUAGGUGGGCGCUUAAGUCAGGUGUGAAAACUCCGGGCUCAACCUGGAGACUGCACUUGAAACUGGGUGUCUUGAGGGCAGGAGAGGAAAGUGGAAUUCCUAGUGUAGCGGUGAAAUGCGUAGAUAUCACGCAGAACUCCGAUUGCGAAGGCAGCGCACCGGCGCCCUACUGACGCUCAGGCACGAAAGCGUGGGUAUCGAACAGGAUUAGAUACCCCAGUA